AAAAAAUGGAAGCGCAAGUGCAUGUUGAGUUUAAGAAUUCAGCACAAGGAAUCAUGAAUCAAAGCAUGAAAUUUGUUCUUUUAUUUUUUGUUAUCUUCGUGUCCAUAUUCUUUGUGACACCCUCGCUAGGGAUGGAUUCUCCACGAUGCCCCACAUUUGACACAUCAUUUUGCGGUUCGCCCUUGAUGGAAGAAGUUUGUCCGGAUAUGUGUCGCAGAGUGCUGAGUCGAAGGGGGAAAUAAAUUAUAAAUUCGUAGCAUAACUGAUCAGCAAGCUGAUGCACGAUAUCAUUUGAAUAGUUUAUUUUUAUCGAUAUUGUAAUACAUUUCUAUUUGGGAAAUAAAGUAUGAUGAAUUAUU